CGGAGCGCGUAAGCUGCGUGCUGUUCGACGUUUCACGCUGUUUACGCUGUCUGGUUGGCAAGCCAGAAACUGCUUUGGGAGCAGGAGGCCGAGAGUUCAAAUCUCUCCGCCCCGA
rnacentral:tRNA from 1 species